GGUUAAGCGACUAAGCGUACACGGUGGAUGCCCUGGCAGUCAGAGGCGAUGAAGGACGUGCUAAUCUGCGAUAAGCGUCGGUAAGGUGAUAUGAACCGUUAUAACCGGCGAUUUCCGAAUGGGGAAACCCAGUGUGAUUCGUCACACUAUCAUUAACUGAAUCCAUAGGUUAAUGAGGCGAACCGGGGGAACUGAAACAUCUAAGUACCCCGAGGAAAAGAAAUCAACCGAGAUUCCCCCAGUAGCGGCGAGCGAACGGGGAGCAGCCCAGAGCCUGAAUCAGUGUGUGUGUUAGUGGAAGCGUCUGGAAAGGCGCGCGAUACAGGGUGACAGCCCCGUACACAAAAAUGCACAUACUGUGAGCUCGAUGAGUAGGGCGGGACACGUGGUAUCCUGUCUGAAUAUGGGGGGACCAUCCUCCAAGGCUAAAUACUCCUGACUGACCGAUAGUGAACCAGUACCGUGAGGGAAAGGCGAAAAGAACCCCGGCGAGGGGAGUGAAAAAGAACCUGAAACCGUGUACGUACAAGCAGUGGGAGCACGCUUAGGCGUGUGACUGCGUACCUUUUGUAUAAUGGGUCAGCGACUUAUAUUCUGUAGCAAGGUUAACCGAAUAGGGGAGCCGAAGGGAAACCGAGUCUUAACUGGGCGUUAAGUUGCAGGGUAUAGACCCGAAACCCGGUGAUCUAGCCAUGGGCAGGUUGAAGGUUGGGUAACACUAACUGGAGGACCGAACCGACUAAUGUUGAAAAAUUAGCGGAUGACUUGUGGCUGGGGGUGAAAGGCCAAUCAAACCGGGAGAUAGCUGGUUCUCCCCGAAAGCUAUUUAGGUAGCGCCUCGUGAAUUCAUCUCCGGGGGUAGAGCACUGUUUCGGCAAGGGGGUCAUCCCGACUUACCAACCCGAUGCAAACUGCGAAUACCGGAGAAUGUUAUCACGGGAGACACACGGCGGGUGCUAACGUCCGUCGUGAAGAGGGAAACAACCCAGACCGCCAGCUAAGGUCCCAAAGUCAUGGUUAAGUGGGAAACGAUGUGGGAAGGCCCAGACAGCCAGGAUGUUGGCUUAGAAGCAGCCAUCAUUUAAAGAAAGCGUAAUAGCUCACUGGUCGAGUCGGCCUGCGCGGAAGAUGUAACGGGGCUAAACCAUGCACCGAAGCUGCGGCAGCGACGCUUAUGCGUUGUUGGGUAGGGGAGCGUUCUGUAAGCCUGUGAAGGUGUACUGUGAGGUAUGCUGGAGGUAUCAGAAGUGCGAAUGCUGACAUAAGUAACGAUAAAGCGGGUGAAAAGCCCGCUCGCCGGAAGACCAAGGGUUCCUGUCCAACGUUAAUCGGGGCAGGGUGAGUCGACCCCUAAGGCGAGGCCGAAAGGCGUAGUCGAUGGGAAACAGGUUAAUAUUCCUGUACUUGGUGUUACUGCGAAGGGGGGACGGAGAAGGCUAUGUUGGCCGGGCGACGGUUGUCCCGGUUUAAGCGUGUAGGCUGGUUUUCCAGGCAAAUCCGGAAAAUCAAGGCUGAGGCGUGAUGACGAGGCACUACGGUGCUGAAGCAACAAAUGCCCUGCUUCCAGGAAAAGCCUCUAAGCAUCAGGUAACAUCAAAUCGUACCCCAAACCGACACAGGUGGUCAGGUAGAGAAUACCAAGGCGCUUGAGAGAACUCGGGUGAAGGAACUAGGCAAAAUGGUGCCGUAACUUCGGGAGAAGGCACGCUGAUAUGUAGGUGAAGUCCCUCGCGGAUGGAGCUGAAAUCAGUCGAAGAUACCAGCUGGCUGCAACUGUUUAUUAAAAACACAGCACUGUGCAAACACGAAAGUGGACGUAUACGGUGUGACGCCUGCCCGGUGCCGGAAGGUUAAUUGAUGGGGUUAGCGCAAGCGAAGCUCUUGAUCGAAGCCCCGGUAAACGGCGGCCGUAACUAUAACGGUCCUAAGGUAGCGAAAUUCCUUGUCGGGUAAGUUCCGACCUGCACGAAUGGCGUAAUGAUGGCCAGGCUGUCUCCACCCGAGACUCAGUGAAAUUGAACUCGCUGUGAAGAUGCAGUGUACCCGCGGCAAGACGGAAAGACCCCGUGAACCUUUACUAUAGCUUGACACUGAACAUUGAGCCUUGAUGUGUAGGAUAGGUGGGAGGCUUUGAAGUGUGGACGCCAGUCUGCAUGGAGCCGACCUUGAAAUACCACCCUUUAAUGUUUGAUGUUCUAACGUGGACCCGUAAUCCGGGUUGCGGACAGUGUCUGGUGGGUAGUUUGACUGGGGCGGUCUCCUCCUAAAGAGUAACGGAGGAGCACGAAGGUUGGCUAAUCCUGGUCGGACAUCAGGAGGUUAGUGCAAUGGCAUAAGCCAGCUUGACUGCGAGCGUGACGGCGCGAGCAGGUGCGAAAGCAGGUCAUAGUGAUCCGGUGGUUCUGAAUGGAAGGGCCAUCGCUCAACGGAUAAAAGGUACUCCGGGGAUAACAGGCUGAUACCGCCCAAGAGUUCAUAUCGACGGCGGUGUUUGGCACCUCGAUGUCGGCUCAUCACAUCCUGGGGCUGAAGUAGGUCCCAAGGGUAUGGCUGUUCGCCAUUUAAAGUGGUACGCGAGCUGGGUUUAGAACGUCGUGAGACAGUUCGGUCCCUAUCUGCCGUGGGCGCUGGAGAAUUGAGGGGGGCUGCUCCUAGUACGAGAGGACCGGAGUGGACGCAUCACUGGUGUUCGGGUUGUCAUGCCAAUGGCACUGCCCGGUAGCUAAAUGCGGAAGAGAUAAGUGCUGAAAGCAUCUAAGCACGAAACUUGCCCCGAGAUGAGUUCUCCCUGACUCCUUGAGAGUCCUGAAGGAACGUUGAAGACGACGACGUUGAUAGGCCGGGUGUGUAAGCGCAGCGAUGCGUUGAGCUAACCGGUACUAAUGAACCGUGAGGCUUAACCUU
rnacentral:rRNA from 1 species